GAUGAACGCUGGCGGCGUGCCUAAUACAUGCAAGUCGAGCGAACAGACGAGGAGCUUGCUCCUCUGACGUUAGCGGCGGACGGGUGAGUAACACGUGGAUAACCUACCUAUAAGACUGGGAUAACUUCGGGAAACCGGAGCUAAUACCGGAUAAUAUAUUGAACCGCAUGGUUCAAUAGUGAAAGACGGUUUUGCUGUCACUUAUAGAUGGAUCCGCGCCGCAUUAGCUAGUUGGCAAGGUAACGGCUUACCAAGGCAACGAUGCGUAGCCGACCUGAGAGGGUGAUCGGCCACACUGGAACUGAGACACGGUCCAGACUCCUACGGGAGGCAGCAGUAGGGAAUCUUCCGCAAUGGGCGAGAGCCUGACGGAGCAACGCCGCGUGAGUGAUGAAGGUCUUCGGAUCGUAAAACUCUGUUAUUAGGGAAGAACAAAUGUGUAAGUAACUAUGCACGUCUUGACGGUACCUAAUCAGAAAGCCACGGCUAACUACGUG
rnacentral:rRNA from 1 species